AGAAUCUGUUCCUUUCCGCCGGAGCCCUUCUGAAAGUCCGUUUAUGCUCAAAUUUGACAGUCAGGCUCGGUUUAAGCUAAUAAAGAGAAAGAUAUCUUAACUUUUCAGUUUUGACCAUUUUUUGUCACCGAAAGCUCUACCGACUAGAAUCUCUAGCAGAUAGCAGUCGGAUUUUAUUUUUCACUUUCUGGGUAUCGGAAUGAUAUGAAACUUUAAAUCUAGCAUCAUAAAAAUAAUUCCGACAUAUUCCCAAGUUUUCAUAAUUUUCUGACACUGAAUUUUUUGCUAAAAUAACAGCCCUGUUUCUCACAGAAAAUUCUAAAUCUUCUGUUUCCGUUCCGAUCUCAGCACAAGUCGUUUCCGACUUAUAUUUUACUUCUUUAAGUCCAAUAAAAAUAGUAUCUCAUACAAUUUUUAUUUACACUUACUUUUAUAUUAAAAUUCGGUAUAUUACACUGGGCAUUCCA
rnacentral:lncRNA from 1 species